rnacentral:rRNA from 1 species
CCUACGGGUGGCUGCAGUGAGGAAUAUUGGUCAAUGGACGAGAGUCUGAACCAGCCAAGUAGCGUGAAGGAUGACUGCCCUAUGGGUUGUAAACUUCUUUUAUAUGGGAAUAAAAUGUUCCACGUGUGGGAUUUUGUAUGUACCAUUUGAAUAGGGAUCGGCUAACUCCGUGCCAGCAGCCGCGGUAAUACGGAGGAUCCGAGCGUUAUCCGGAUUUAUUGGGUUUAAAGGGAGCGUAGGUGGAUUGUUAAGUCAGUUGUGAAAGUUUGCGGCUCAACCGUAAAAUUGCAGUUGAAACUGGCAGUCUUGAGUACAGUAGAGGUGGGCGGAAUUCGUGGUGUAGCGGUGAAAUGCUUAGAAAUCGCGAAGAACUCCGAUUGCGAAGGCAGUUCACUGGACUGCAACUGACACUGAGGCUCGAAAGUGUGGGUAUCAAACAGGAUUAGAUACCCUUGUAGUC